rnacentral:lncRNA from 1 species
GCAGAAGACGGCAUACGAAAUAGUUUACAAUAAUCACUGCUUCUGCAAUAUAAGCCUGAGAUCCUAAAAAAAAACUACGUCCAAAUUCUUGAUGCAGUUGUGGAGAGCUGCAAGUUGUGUCCCUACAAGACAGCAAUCCAAGUAAUAAAUAAAGUAUUUCUAACUUACAUACAACAUCAUUUCCACCCUGAUCCAAUAAUAUGACGGGUAAUAACACUGCUCAAAUUACAGAUUAAAAUUGUCACUUCCAUGACUAUACCAGGACUGAAUUGUUUAGGCCUUUUAGUCUUGAACUGCUACGUUUUUCUUUAUCCUGCUCACUCUCCAACACAAACCUACCUCUUAUAAUAUACACUAGAUUUCAGAACAACUGUAUAUUCCAGGGCAUUCAAAGGAAAACACACUUUAAACUGGUUUAAUGUAGCAGUAUAUGUCACUGGUAGCUCUUCUGACCAAAGUCACUUAGAAUUAUAAACUGUUUUCCCUGCCAAAGCAUGUUGAUGAGAAGGAGAAAUAUGGUAAUGAGGGACCAGAACAGAGUAAUUUCACUGUAUUCUAAUAGCUGAAAGAAAGUAAUGUGAAAAGGCUGGUACUCUGAAAACUCCAACAUCAAUGCAAAAGAAUAAGCGUGUAUUUGGUUGGUUUUUAAUUUUUUUUUAUUUUUAUGGAGAUGGAGUCUCACUAUGUUGGCCAGG